AAACCAACAGGGAUUGCCCUAGUAACGGCGAGUGAAGCGGCAACAGCUCAAAUUUGAAAUCUGGCUUCGGCCCGAGUUGUAAUUUGUAGAGGAUGCUUUUGGUGAGGUGCCUUCUGAGUUCCCUGGAACGGGACGCCAGAGAGGGUGAGAGCCCCGUAUAGUCGGCCACCGAUCCUCUGUAAAGCUCCUUCGACGAGUCGAGUAGUUUGGGAAUGCUGCUCAAAAUGGGAGGUAUAUCUCUUCUAAAGCUAAAUAUUGGCCAGAGACCGAUAGCGCACAAGUAGAGUGAUCGAAAGAUGAAAAGCACUUUGAAAAGAGGGUUAAAUAGCACGUGAAAUUGUUGAAAGGGAAGCGCUUGUGACCAGACUUGUGCCGGGCUGAUCAUCCAGUGUUCUCACUGGUGCACUCGACCCGGCUCAGGCCAGCGUCGGUUCUCGUAGGGGGAUAAAAGCUUCGGGAACGUGGCACCUUCGGGUGUGUUAUAGCCCGUUGCUUAAUACCCUUGUGGGGACCGAGGUUCGCGCUCUGCAAGGACGCUGGCAUAAUGGUCAUCAGCGACC
rnacentral:rRNA from 1 species